AGCGAACGCUGGCGGCGGGCCUAACACAUGCAAGUCGAACGAACUCUUCGGAGUUAGUGGCGGACGGGUGAGUAACACGUGGGAACGUGCCUUUAGGUUCGGAAUAACUCAGGGAAACUUGUGCUAAUACCGAAUGUGCCCUUCGGGGGAAAGAUUUAUCGCCUUUAGAGCGGCCCGCGUCUGAUUAGCUAGUUGGUGAGGUAAAGGCUCACCAAGGCGACGAUCAGUAGCUGGUCUGAGAGGAUGAUCAGCCACAUUGGGACUGAGACACGGCCCAAACUCCUUCGGGAGGCAGCAGUGGGGAAUCUUGCGCAAUGGGCGAAAGCCUGACGCAGCCAUGCCGCGUGAAUGAUGAAGGUCUUAGGAUUGUAAAAUUCUUUCACCGGGGACGAUAAUGACGGUACCCGGAGAAGAAGCCCCGGCUAACUUCAUGCCAGCCGCCGCGGUGA
rnacentral:rRNA from 1 species